ensembl:lncRNA neurofilament heavy polypeptide-like
AUGGAUGUGGAUCUUUCACCAGCGCCGAGUUCAGUAAAGAUGGGCAAUUUACCAUCAAACCAGGAGCCACUUCAGGCUGAGGCGAAGGACCAGAACGGAGGCCUGAACGGCCACGCGGUGGCCGUCACCGACGCCGGCACGGGCCCGCACGUUGAUAAGCACCUGUUACCCGACGGGUGUGUCCCGCUGAUCUCGGCACCAGAAACAAGCCCCGCCCUGCCAGGUAAGGACCCCGCCCUGGUACAGACCAACGGACACCAGUUGCCGGAGCAGCCGGAGAGCAGCGAGCCACGAGCCCCUCAAGACGCGGCAGCUGCCCCGAAACUGUUGGGAGAAGAGAAAGUCAACCUCUUCGGCAAAAUGUUCAAGAAGAAGCCUGACGCCCCGCCGGUCCCACCUGAGAAGGUGGAGGAUCUGGUGACACCGGCGGACCAGCAAACUAGCCCCAAGCGGGAGGACGCAGCUCCUGAUGUUGGUGCUGAGAAACAGCCUGAGCAACAGAUGAGUAAUGGUGCUGGUCCAGAUCCUGCAGAAGCUCCUGCAGAAGCAGCAGCGAAGCCGCCCCCCGAACAGAAAAAGCGGUUCAGCGGCCUCUUCAAGAAGAAGCCUGAGAGCCCACCUGCAGCAGAGCCUGGCGGACCACCAGGGGGGACUGAGACACCAGCUGCGGCCAAUGAGCAGCCACGUUCCAGUGAGGAGAAGCAUCCCAUCGCAGAUUCCAGUGGAAUGAGACCGUCAGAGAAGCAGGUAAAUGCUGCAGCUGUGGUUACCAAAGACGACCCUGGAUCAGCACCGAAAGAUGGAGAUGAAAAGCCAAAGCGCUUCGGAAAACUUUUCAUGAAGAAGAGUGGAAACACACCUGCAGUGGAGGUGGAGAUCUCGCCUGACCAGACGCCCGCUGUAGAUGUACACCUGCAGGCCGAGCCUGGGGACAUAAAGGAGGGAACAGAGCCGCAGCAGGACCCAGACCGGGAGUCUCUGGACCUCGUCCCCGCCGCCGCCCAGCUCGCGCCGCAGCCACAGGAGCAUCCAGUUAUGAACUUCUUCAAAACGCUUGUGAGUCCGACCAGAACCCCUAAAGAGGCAGCAGCAGGUCCUGAUGGUUCCAGAGAGCAGCCCCAGAAGGAGCCGGCGGCAGCCGCGCAGUCGGCCGGACAGGAAGUAGACGCGGCGAAAGCGAAGGUGCCUCCUCCUCCUCCCCCAGAGCCUCCCAAGAUGGCGGAGCCGGCGGCAAGGAAGGAGGACGUGAAGGACACGCCCAAGCAGGCGGAGCCUGCUGCUAAACCCAAGGCUGCGAAAGAGAGCCCCUUCAACAAGAUAUUCCGCCCGAAGGUCUUGGCAGGCUGGAAGGCCUCUAAGAAACCUAAUCCUGCCCCCGGUGGAGCCACGGCGCCAUCAGCAGCAGCUAGCGCGGUCGACGCGUCCAAGACGGCGACGCUGGAGGCCGCCGCCAAACCGGAGGCCCCCGCCCUCCCCGCGCCCAGAGAAGAGGAGAAGAAGUCGGAGAAACGGGCCUCGCCCUUCGCCUCCUUCUUCAAACCCAAAGUCCUGCUGGACCAGGUGGCCUCCAGGAUGCAGGCUGUGGGCAUCAGCACUCGCAUCGGCCGCCCCGCCAAGUCGUCCGCAGCGGCCCCAGAGCAGAAAAAAGACACGCCCGUCACCGCUGCUGCCCCACCCCCAGAAGCCCCCCAGGGUGCGAGGGCCAAAGAGGAUCCCAAAAGCGCGCCCCCUGCGACCCCUCCGGUCCCCGACAGCAAGCCGGCGGAGAGCGCAGAGAACGCCUCGCCCAGCACCGCCCGCAGGGAGAAGCGGAACUCCAUCCAGCUGUUCUUCAGGAACCUGGGCCAGAAGCGGCAUUCGGACGCGGGGGUGCAGACGGAAGCCCCGGCUGCGGGCUCCACGGUGGAAAGGGGCAAAUAAACCUUCAUCUGCCCCGCUUCGCCCCUUCUCCCCUUCCCGUCGGCUCCGUGUCGCGGACGUUGGCGUGUCUGAGACGCAUGCGCACACUGGCUCCUGGGCGGGGCCAGAGGCGUGACUCUAGGGGCGUGGCAGACACGAGGCACGACAUUUUUAACGUCUAUUAACGCCUUUAUUCUCACGGCAGUCGGUCCACACAGAUCCUGAAGCAUCCUCUCAACAGUCUCUGCAAUCAUCAUCAUCAUCAUUAUUAUUAUUAUUAUUACUGUUGUUGUUUUUGUCACAUUACAAACUGCUUUUCAUUUCUUUUCAGAUCACUGUGGAUGAUUUAUUUUGUGCUGCUUAAUAAACAAUUAAAUGUAUUAAUCGCUGAUCA